GUCCGGGGAGUCCAGUGACCUCACUGCGGUGGGGUCUCCGGCAGCUGGAGUUUCCGUCACAACGUUCCUUUUCUCCGCGCGCCCGCCGUCACCACUACUUGCGCACCACCGCCUUAGUUGGUUGCGUGCAGGCAAGCGGCCCCGCACCGGGCCAGGCCACCCCCUGCCAUCUCCGGUGGACCUGGGAUUCCUAAUCUCCCACACCCUGCGCCAGGCUCUCCCGAGACCUAUCGCCUCUCGGCGCCAGUCCUAGCCAAGGCGACAGAUCUCAUUGUUGCAGGCCCUUAGACCCCCGCCCUCAGUAAACGUGUUUACUUUAUUCCUAGGGUUGAGGAGGAAAGCAGAUACAGACAUAUAGCAUUCCCCACUGUCUCCUUUGUUGGCUUUAAAAAAAAAAAAAAAGAAAGUAAAUGGACUUGCCACAGUGUACAGGCAAGAGGAGGGGAGGAUUAUCCUAAUCAAUUACUGAGC
rnacentral:lncRNA from 10 species